CACCUGAUCCCUUCCCGAACUCAGAAGUGAAACCUCUUAGCGCUGAUGGUAGUGUGGGAUUACCCAUGUGAGAGUAAGUCAUCGCCAGCUC
rnacentral:rRNA from 2 species